rnacentral:lncRNA from 1 species
UCAGAUUUCAGGCAAACAAUGAGCAAGAAAUAUCCCUUCAUCUUGGAAGUUUAUUACAAAUCCACUGAGAAGUCUGGAAUGUAUGGAAUCAGAGAGCUAGAUCAAAAAACAUGGUUGAACAGCAAAAAUUAGAUCCAGUCAUCACGUUCAGCCUCCCAUCUAAGCUGUUUGAGACCUUUGAGAGAAGAAGAAAAGAUGAGUGUACUACCACACUGUAGACUCUUGGUGGUCCCACAGAACAUGCUGCUGAGUCACAGGAACUUCUAGCCUGCCUUGGCCUGUGGUUUCCCACCCACUAUACAAACCCACUGCUUGUUUGUUGCUUUUCUUCUCAUAUUUAUUGUCAAAGAUAAAUGUUUCAAAAAGAAAUGACUAAGGAAGGAAAAGAAACAAAUGCUCUAAAGAUUUUCUCUCCCCAAGCACUUUUACUGGUGAAAUAAAAACCAGUAACAAUCAAUAUGUAAAAACGGCCCACUUCCCU